rnacentral:piRNA from 1 species
UAACAGACCCUACUGUGUGAUGUUCCC